UACAGAGGGUGCGAGCGUUGUUCGGAAUCACUGGGCGUAAAGGGCGCGUAGGCGGCCUGAUAAGUCGGGGGUGAAAUCCUGCGGCUUAACCGCAGGGCUGCCUUCUAAACUGUCAGGCUCGAGCACAGUAGAGGCAGGUGGAAUUCCCGGUGUAGCGGUGGAAUGCGUAGAGAUCGGGAAGAACAUCAGUGGCGAAGGCGGCCUGCUGGGCUGUUGCUGACGCUGAGGCGCGACAGCGUGGGGAGCAAACAGG
rnacentral:rRNA from 1 species